rnacentral:lncRNA from 1 species
UCAGUCAGUUUAAUUGAAGUCUGGAGCUGGCAUGUCAGUUAACUGCUAGUAGUCUGUUGUUAUUUAUGUAUUAUUGUCAUUUUUGUUUAUUUUCUUUGGUUACAUCUUCUGACAUCAGACUCGGACUUCUCUUGAACUGAAUUUUAAUGUGCGUAUUGUUAUGCGUUUACUUUUCUACAAUGGUUAGAGGUAUAGGGGGAGGGUUGAGAUCUCACAAACAUGUUUAACCCCGCCGCAUUUUUGCGCCUGUCCCAAGUCAGGAGCCUCUGGCCUUUGUUAGUCUUGUAUUAUUUUAAUUUUAGUUUCUUGUGUACAAUUUGGAAAUUAGUAUGGCGUUCAUUAUCACUGAACUAGUAUAUAUUUGUUUAGGGGCCAGCUGAAGGACGCCUCCAGGUGCGGGAAUUUCUCG